GAUGAAGAACGCAGCGAAAUGCGAUACUUGGUGUGAAUUGCAGAAUCCCGUGAACCAUCGAGUCUUUGAACGCAAGUUGCGCCCGAAGCCAUUAGGCCGAGGGCACGCCUGCCUGGGCGUCACACGUCGUUGCCCCCCCAUCUACUCCUUCGGGAUUGCGGGGGGCGGAUGAUGGCCUCCCGUGCGCCUCGUCGCGCGGUUGGCAUAAAUGCCAAGUCCUCGGCGACACACGCCACGACAAUCGGUGGUUGCGAAACCUCGGUUGCCCGUCGUGUGCGGUCGUCGCGCAUCGAGGGCUCGAAAAAAUUGCCGGGCUCCGGCUCGGCUUUCUACGCGACCCCAGGUCAGGCGGGGUUACCCGCUGAAUUUAAGCAUAUCAAUAAGCGGAGGA
rnacentral:misc_RNA from 1 species